AGGCUACUGCUAUCAGAGUACGAUUAAGCCAUGUUAGUCGAGGGUGGUUAUUUGUCGGGCUUUGGUCUGACAGAUGAUUAACCCGGCAUACUGCUCAGUAACACGCGGAUAACUUGCCCUUGGAACUGGGAUAACCCCGGGAAACUGGGGACAAUACCAGUUAGGUCAUCGAGUGCUGGAAUGCACGAUGACUGAAAGCUGAGGCGUCCAAGGAUAGGUCUGCGGCCGAUUAGGUUGUUGUUGAUGUAACGGAUCAACAAGCCCACGAUCGGUACGGGUUGUGAGAGCAAUAGCCCGGAGAUGGGUUCUGAGAAAAGAACCCAGGCCCUACGGGGCGCAUCAGGCGCGAAAACUUUACAAUGUGCGCAAGCAUGAUAAGGGUACUCUGAGUGCCUCCAAUGGAGGCUGUUCAGGUGUGUAAAAAGCAUCUGAAGGAAGGACUGGGUAAGACCGGUGCCAGCCGCCGCGGUAACACCGGCAGCCCAAGUGGUGGCCACUUUUAUUGGGUCUAAAGCGUCCGUAGCCGGUCUGGUAAGUCCCUUGGGAAAUUUGGUCGCUUAACGAUCAAGCUACCAUAGGAUACUGCCCGACUUGGGACCGGGAGAGGUCAGAGGUACUUCAAGGGUAGGGGUGAAAUCUGUUGAUCCUUGAAGGACGACCUGCGGCGAAAGCGUCUGACCAGAACGGGUCCGACGGUGAGGGACGAAAGCUGGGGGCGCAAACCGGAUUAGAUACCCGGGUAGUCCCAGCUGUAAACGAUGCGGGCCAGGUAUUGGUAUCACUGCGGGUGGUGCCAGUGUCGAAGGGAAGCCAUUAAGCUCGCCAUCUGGGGAGUACGGUCGCAAGGCUGAAACUUAAAGGAAUUGGCGGGGGAGCACUACCACGGGUGGAGCCUGCGGUUC
rnacentral:rRNA from 1 species